GUGAGUCAUCGAAUCUUUGAACGCACCUUGCGCUCCUUGGUAUUCCGAGGAGCAUGCCUGUUUGAGUGUCGUGAAAUUCCUCAACUUUGCCAACCUUGGCAAGGCUUGGACUUUGGAGUGUGCCGGACUUUGCAUACAAGGUCGGCUCCUCUGAAAUGUAUCAGCAAGACCUGUAGCAGGGUUGAAGCUUUGGUUUGAUAAUUCCUCUUUGGUCUUCAGCCAUAGCUGUCUGCGCUCGUAUUUGCUUGCUCCCUCCUUUUUGACACUCUGACCUCAAAUCAGGUAGGACUACCCGCUGAACUUAAGCAUAUCAAUAAGCGGAGGA
rnacentral:misc_RNA from 1 species